rnacentral:lncRNA from 1 species
CUGGCCUGUUAGCACAGGGGGUUACCUCACCCACUGUCUUUCUUCCCAGCAGAAAUUUAAUCCAGCUCAGCCAGGGCAGACAGCCCACCCUAGGGACUGAUUUCAUGGGCUGAGAAAGAAAGCACAUUGAAAAGAUCAGAGAAGGUAUUCUGAUUUUCCAUGAUGAAAUCCAUGUUUGCAGUGCUCACUGUUUGCUUGCACCUUCUAAUAAUGCCUCUGUUUUAGCUAAAGUAGCCAUAGUCAUAACCCCUCUUAAUCAGAUAAACUGAGUCAUUGUGGUUACAAAGACACAUUCCAUGAAGGGCAUGGAUGAUCAGUUUCUAAGGUGGAAAGAAACACUUCAUCAAUACAGUCAUUUCAGACCACUGAGUUUAUUUAAUUGAGGGAAAGUUUCUAAACCAAAGUCUUACACUUGGCUAUCAAAUUUCUCUUGUUUUCAAAAAAUUCCUCUCUCUCUCAAGUCCACAUCAGGUAAGGAGAAGGAAAAAGAAUUGGCCUAAGCUGUGUCAGACAUCCAAAAGUUCACAGCUUGUGCUUACAUUGUCAUACAGGUGUGGUCCUUACCAAAGGGAACUUGCAUUAUUCAGUGAGUGGGGGCUUAACUGCUGUAACCCAGGAUUCAACAAACUUCUUCUGGAAACUUCCAGGCUCAAUUUCAGGUGGCAUCUCUAUCCUCUGUUUUCCCAUCUCAUCCUCGUGCCCUCUUAUAUCCACUACACUCGACUCAGAAUGUUUUUUCCCAAAACACAAAUUGGAACAUGUCUCUCUCUCCUAAUGAAGACUUUCGAUGGCUUCCUCUUCUUGUGGAUGGAGCCCCAAUUCCUCAGCAUGGCUGAACUGUGUGUCCUGCAAUGACAGAAGUCCACAGGGGCAGAUGGUGACUGAUGGCCCCAAGGCAAGGUGGUUCAGUCAAAUCGUGAGAUGAGCAGGACUCCUAGACCUCAGGCCACCUGGGACCAGAGACUCAAGGAAGCCCUGCCUCCCCUCUCCAGGCUCUGCACAGCAGCCUCUUUCUCUGUGGGUGGAGUGGUGCCCACACGUGGCAGGGAGCUCACAGCCAGAAGAUUCCUCCUCUGGAGCAGCCUGACCUUCCUCCUUAAUCCUCCCCUGAAAACUCCCCAGGAAGGACUGGGUCCGAGUCCACCCCUGACCAGUCACCGUGACCAGAAAGGUGGAGUCCUGUGUCAGGCUGGGGGCUCCUGAGGGAUCAGGUGGCAGGAGGAAGGGGUCCAGCAUGGGGUGCUGUCCCAAGCAUCAGAAAGGGGUGCGGGCAAGCACCGUGACCCACUAAGGGGCUCACAAGGUAGCUGAGCUGCCUUCCCGGCCAGUGUUUGAAAUUAAAAGGCUAAAAAUGACUUUGUUGUCUGACCAUUGAAGUACUCGAUAAGGAAAACACGGAUAUUAAACUUAUAAAGGCAGUUAAAAAUAUUGGAAGGUGUUUCUCUUUACCAAGUUUUCAACUGAAAGCAAAUGUUAAUGAAAGACCCAUUGAAAGUGAUUUCUGGCUGUACACUAUCAAUGAAUAAUCAAAAAAUAUA